CCUACGGGUGGCAGCAGUGGGGAAUAUUGCACAAUGGGGGAAACCCUGAUGCAGCAACGCCGCGUGGGUGAGGAAGUAUUUCGGUAUGUAAAGCUCUAUCGGCAGGGAAUAGAAAGGCAGGUACCUGCAAAAGAAGCCCCGGCUAACUACGUUCCGGCAGCCGCGGUAAUACGUAGGGGGCAAGCGUUAUCCGGAUUUACUGGGUGGAAAGGGAGCGUAGACGGAAAGGCAAGUCAGAAGUGAAAACCCAAGGCUUAACCAUGGGACUGCUUUUGAAACUGUCAAACUAGAGUACGGGAGAGGUAAGAGGAAUUCUUAGUGUAGGGGUGAAAUGCGUAGAGAUCAGGAGGAAUACUAGUGGCGAAGGCGUCUUACUGGAACGAAACUGACGUUGAGGCUCGAAAGCGUGGGGAGCAAACAGGAUUAGAUACCCCUGUAGUC
rnacentral:rRNA from 1 species